UGCUUGAUCCUUCUUUGUGAUUCGUUUGUGUUUUAGCUUUUAUUUUCGGAACUUUAUUAACUACAAACUUGGCUAUUCAAACGGACUCUGAUUGAUUGCAAUAACGACAUACUCAGCCUGGGAUUUACUGUUUUUGUGUGGCUCGGCCAAGGCUCGGCUGGUGGUUCUAUGGUGUUAGAAAAUGAGCAACUUAAUUAUACACAACAAUGGGCAGCACCUCGAUCGGUUACAGCUCAUGAUCUUAUAUGCACAACAUGUUGGACCCAAGCCCAAGAUACAACACAAAUGCAUCUACUUCAAAUCUUAGCAGAAAAUGUGUGCUUUGCAGUAGAACACUAGAGCCUAGAACACGUUCACAUCAGGAACAUAAUUGUGGAACGACUAACUCCAUUAGAGGUUACUGCAAAUGACUACAUCUGUGGGGCUUGUCACUCAUUAUUGCAAAGAGAUACCACACCUACUUCACAAGACUCUCCAGAUAUGCCAACCGGUGCCCCGGUAGGUCACCAACAAGUUUGUGUGAUACCACACCUACUUCACAAGACUCUCCAGAUAUGCCAACCGGUGCCCCGGUAGGUCACCAACAAGUUUGUGUUGGAUGUGGUUGUUCAUUAUUGCGAACUUGAAGUCAUUGUUUGGAUACAGAGAAUAAUCAAGAUAUAUUAAACAUUGUUCGAAAUUGGAUUCAACCCAGAGAGAUUCGUCCUUCAGAUCUUCUUUGCCAUAGAUACUAUCAGAGAGCACGAAUUACUACAGUUGGUGCUUAUUUAAUGAAGCUGAGGACCGGUGAUUCAGAUGACAGAAUAGCUACAUUACUUGGCAUUUCAAGGAGUACUCUUACAAAAUAUGUAAUGAAAGCACGCAGUAGGUAUGAUGGAGGAACAUUUCGUACCAGCACAUUUAGGGUUACAACAUAUUAGUAGAGAGGAAGUAGCCCAAAGAAACCUUUAUGUUCCAGUCUCUUUUCGGGAAGCCAGGAAACGAUUUACCACAAAGAAAGGCUAUUGUCAUCAUGGAUGGUACAUACAUACAUUUAUGUGCAAAAAAGUAGCAAUUAUGCAUACCAAAAAAAAAACUUAUUCCCUAUACAAAUAUCGGAAUCUCGUUAAACCAUUUAUGGUACUUUGUUGUGAUGGCGACAUCAUUGAUGUAUUGGGCCCAUAUUUAAUAGAAAAUGUAGAACAUGACCAUUAAUAAAUAAUAAGUACCUA